rnacentral:rRNA from 1 species
UACGUAGGCAGCGAGCGUUGUUCGGAGUUAUUGGGCGUAAAGAGCUCGUAGGCGGUUUGUCGCGUCUGCUGUGAAAACUCGGGGCUUAACCCCGGGCCUGCAGUGGGUACGGGCAGACUAGAGUCCGGUAGGGGAGACUGGAAUUCCUGGUGUAGCGGUGAAAUGCGCAGAUAUCAGGAGGAACACCGGUGGCGAAGGCGGGUCUCUGGGCCGUAACUGACGCUGAGGAGCGAAAGCGUGGGGAGCGAACAGG